UGUUGCCUAUCUUCCACUCCGAUUUGCCUCCUUGCUCGCCGUCGACCAUCGAUCACCGCCCCGUGGCCACCGCUUCAUCACCGUCGGUGAAGAAAAUUUUGAGGUUAUUGAACCCGAGAUCCAGGAUUAGAGCGAAUCUUUCGGAGUUCAUCGUUUAGACCAAGGAUGACACCUGGUCGUUGACGAGGACGUCCAGUCCCAGAGGAGGGGAGAUGUGGAAAUACUCCCCAGCCUGAUCAUAUGCAGGAAAUGAGAAAUUUACUGAUGGAACUCAUCACUACUGUGAGACAACAGGGAGCAGCACCAGCUCCACAACCGGUCCCUGCACCACCACCGCCUUAUGUACCACCACCUCCACCUCCCGUACAACCGGUUGCAGCUCCUGCACCUGCACCACCUGUGAUGAAUGCGGAAUUUUUUCAGUUCCUUGAUCGAGUGGAGCGUCGUACAGCUCCAAGAUUUGGUGGUACAUCUGAUCCAGCUGUGGCCGAGGAUUGGUUGGACAGGAUGACUCAGAUAUUUGAUCUUAUCCAGUGUCCUGAUCUUUUUAGGGCACACAUAUCCAUCUACCAUCUGGAUGGAGAGGCGAGACACUGGUGGAAAGGAGUUGCCCAACCAUUUGGGGUAAACUAUCAGUUCACUUGGGGACAGUUCGUCCAUGCAUUUCGAGAGAAAUAUUACUCACCUGGAGUACAAGAGGAGAUGGCGAUGAAGCUUAUUAGCCUUCAACAAGGAAAUCGUUCAGUGAAAGAAUAUGAGAGGGAAUUCAAUUCAUUGGCUAGAUAUGGAGGUGAGAUGCUGCAAACAGAGACCUUAAGGGUAAAGAAGUUCGUAAGAGGACUUCGUCCAUCUCUCAAGGCAAAGGUGGAACUUUUGAAAAUCAACUCGAUGUCAGAAAUAGUUGAUAUGGCUGAUCGAGCUGAGAGAACAGAACGUGAAAUCGAAGCAUCUACUAAGAGGUCGACUAACCCCAGUCAUAGGCGUCUAGUCCAAGAUGACAGGAGUAAGGGCAAGGCGGUUGUGCAACCUUAUACAUCCGGUAUCCCGAUGUGCUCACAAUGUGGGAGACGUCACUUUGGCGAGUGUAGAUUGCUCCAGAUUACUUGUUUCCACUGUGGAAGGGCGGGACAUUAUAAGAGCGAUUGUCCCGAGUUAAAAAGAGAAGCACCUAAGAGGAUUGAACAAAGACCAGUUCAUCAACAACCAGCUGCUAAGAGACCAGCGUUGAAGCCUAGGGUCUAUGCUCUAGGAACUGAAGAGCAAGAGGAAGAAGAAACGACAGCAAUCAUAGGUGAAGAAAAUCUCGAGGUUAUUGAACCCGGGAUCGAGGAUUAGAGCGAAUCUUUCGGAGUUCAUCGUUUAGACCAAGCAAUACGGAUCCUUCGAGAUCUUUUACAAUACACAUAAGGAUAAAUGGUUGAUCACUAUUGAAUAUGUGUGUUCAAGAGAAAGGAAGAUUGCUUAUGGAAGGUGGAGAGAGUGUGCAUUUGGUAACUCAAGAAAAAGUCAAAUACCAAGGCAAAAAGAAUGGGAAGAAAAAGUUUACUUCUCAAGAAAACAUUAAGAAGGAAUCCAAGUGUUUCUUCUGUAAGAAGAAAAGAUACAUGAAGAAAGAUUUACAGAUAUUCCAAGACUGGUUUGCUAAUAAAGGGUUUGCAAAACCUAAGGAAGGCAGUGGAAAGCGAACAAUGUAUCUAUUCGGGAAACAAGAUGCGCUCACAUGUGGAGGAUGUUGGAAUAUGUUAUCUAGUUUUAAGUAGUAGUUAUGUAUUUAUGUUGGAGAAGACUUUUUAUGUUCCUGGUUUUUCUAGGAAUUUAACACUACAAAAAAAUUCGAAAUUCCAACCGGCAAAUCCAUUGAAAAAAACGUCGUUGGAAUUUUGAUUCCGUUGGAAGCCCGUAGCAAUUUUCGACGGAUUUCCAACGGUUAAAUCCGUGGUAUUUUUCCAACGGAUUGUCAAUGGUUUUCCGUGAAUAUUAUAUAACGGAUAU